rnacentral:rRNA from 1 species
UCCCUUCGGGGUGAAGCUCGUGGAACGAGCGGCGGACGGGUGAGUAACACGUGGGCAACCUGCCUGUAAGAUCGGAAUAACCCCGGGAAACCGGGGCUAAUGCCGGGUAAUACUUUCUUUCGCAUGAAGGAAAGUUGAAAGAUGGCUUCUCGCUAUCACUUACAGAUGGGCCCGCGGCGCAUUAGCUAGUUGGUGAGGUAACGGCUCACCAAGGCGACGAUGCGUAGCCGACCUGAGAGGGUGAUCGGCCACACUGGGACUGAGACACGGCCCAGACUCCUACGGGAGGCAGCAGUAGGGAAUCUUCCGCAAUGGACGAAAGUCUGACGGAGCAACGCCGCGUGAACGAUGAAGGUCUUCGGAUCGUAAAGUUCUGUUGUUAGGGAAGAACAAGUACCGUGCGAAUAGAGCGGUACCUUGACGGUACCUAACGAGGAAGCCCCGGCUAACUACGUGCCAGCAGCCGCGGUAAUACGUAGGGGGCAAGCGUUGUCCGGAAUUAUUGGGCGUAAAGCGCGCGCAGGCGGUUCCUUAAGUCUGAUGUGAAAGCCCACGGCUCAACCGUGGAGGGUCAUUGGAAACUGGGGAACUUGAGGACAGAAGAGGAGAGUGGAAUUCCACGUGUAGCGGUGAAAUGCGUAGAUAUGUGGAGGAACACCAGUGGCGAAGGCGACUCUCUGGUCUGUUUCUGACGCUGAGGUGCGAAAGCGUGGGUAGCAAACAGGAUUAGAUACCCUGGUAGUCCACGCCGUAAACGAUGAGUGCUA